AUUGAACGCUGGCGGCAGGCCUAACACAUGCAAGUCGAGCGGAGCGGCGGACGGGUGAGUAAUGCCUAGGAAUCUGACUGGUAGUGGGGGAUAACUACGAGAAAGCGUAGCUAAUACCGCAUACUAUUGGAGCGGCCGAUAUCGGAUUAGCUAGUUGGUUGGGUAACGGCUCACCAAGGCGACGAUCCGUAGCUGGGUUGAGAGGACGAACAGCCACACUGGGACUGAGACACGGCCCAGACUCCUACGGGAGGCAGCAGUGGGGAAUUUUGGACAAUGGGGGAAACCCUGAUCCAGCCAUCCCGCGUGUGCGAUGAAGGCCUUCGGGUUGUAAAGCACUUUUGGCAGGAAAGCGGUACCUGCAGAAUAAGCACCGGCUAACUCCGUGCCAGCAGCCGCGGUAAUUC
rnacentral:rRNA from 1 species